rnacentral:rRNA from 1 species
UACGUAGGGGGCAAGCGUUGUCCGGAAUUAUUGGGCGUAAAGAGCGUGCAGGCGGCCAGAUAAGUCCGCUGUGAAAUCUCGAGGCUCAACUUCGAGCUGUCGGUGGAAACUGUCUGGCUAGAGUCCGGAAGAGGAGAAUGGAAUUCCUGGUGUAGCGGUGAAAUGCGCAGAUAUCAGGAAGAACACCCGUGGCGAAGGCGGUUCUCUGGGACGGUACUGACGCUGAGACGCGAAAGCGUGGGGAGCGAACAGG